AGCUACUUGUAACAAUCGGUAGAGAGACACCUCUUUGGUAGUGUUCUUCUCAUAUCAGUCAGUGGCAUAGCAUCUGUAUAGUUCAAGUUCAUCCCAGCUUGUUGCUUUGCUUAGCUGGUUCAUGCCCUGGGCACAUAA